UGGGGAAUUUUGGACAAUGGGCGCAAGCCUGAUCCAGCCAUGCCGCGUGCGGGAAGAAGGCCUUCGGGUUGUAAACCGCUUUUGUCAGGGAAGAAAUCUUCUGAGUUAAUACCUCGGGAGGAUGACGGUACCUGAAGAAUAAGCACCGGCUAACUACGUGCCAUCAGCCGCGGUAAUACGUAGGGUGCAAGCGUUAAUCGGAAUUACUGGGCGUAAAGCGUGCGCAGGCGGUUUUGUAAGACAGAGGUGAAAUCCCCGGGCUCAACCUGGGAACUGCCUUUGUGACUGCAAGGCUUGAGUGCGGCAGAGGGGGAUGGAAUUCCGCGUGUAGCAGUGAAAUGCGUAGAUAUGCGGAGGAACACCGAUGGCGAAGGCAAUCCCCUGGGCCUGCACUGACGCUCAUGCACGAAAGCGUGGGGAGCAAACAGGAUUAGAUACCCUGGUAGUCCACGCCCUAAACGAUGUCAACUGGUUGUUGGGAAGGUUCCUUCUCAGUAACGUAGCUAACGCGUGAAGUUGACCGCCUGGGGAGUACGGCCGCAAGGUUG
rnacentral:rRNA from 1 species